rnacentral:rRNA from 1 species
UACGUAGGGCGCAAGCGUUGUCCGGAAUUAUUGGGCGUAAAGAGCUCGUAGGCGGUUUGUCGCGUCUGCUGUGAAAACCUAAGGCUCAACCUUGGGCUUGCAGUGGGUACGGGCAGACUAGAGUGCGGUAGGGGUGACUGGAAUUCCUGGUGUAGCGGUGAAAUGCGCAGAUAUCAGGAGGAACACCGGUGGCGAAGGCGGGUCUCUGGGCCGCAACUGACGCUGAGGAGCGAAAGCAUGGGGAGCGAACAGG